rnacentral:rRNA from 1 species
UACGUAUGGUGCAAGCGUUAUCCGGAUUUACUGGGUGUAAAGGGAGCGCAGGCGGUGCGGCAAGUCUGAUGUGAAAGCCCGGGGCUCAACCCCGGUACUGCAUUGGAAACUGUCGUACUAGAGUGUCGGAGAGGUAAGCGGAAUUCCUAGUGUAGCGGUGAAAUGCGUAGAUAUUAGGAGGAACACCAGUGGCGAAGGCGGCUUACUGGACGAUAACUGACGCUGAGGCUCGAAAGCGUGGGGAGCAAACAGG